rnacentral:lncRNA from 1 species
ACAACUUCUUUCUUAAGUAACCACCAAUGUUCUGCUUUACCGGUCAGCAUAAAGGCUGCUAGGGGGACUUUUUAUUCCUCGGUUAGGUGUAGGAUAGAGAAAAGCUUCUCUAUCUGUAGGAUCCAGGCUUCAACUACUAACGGGUUAGGUCACCUUCAAAGUGUGGUAGGUAAAGUUUCAUAAAUUCUGCUAUGUUGUG